GAAUGAAGAACGCAGCGAAAUGCGAUAAGUAAUGUGAAUUGCAGAAUUCAGUGAAUCAUCGAAUCUUUGAACGCACAUUGCGCCCGCUGGUAUUCCGGCGGGCAUGCCUGUUCGAGCGUCAUUUCAACCCUCAAGCUCUCCGGAGUUUGGUGUUGGGGCGCCUGGGGCUUUUCGACCUCAGGGCCCUCAAGUCCAUCGGCGGGACCGCCAGGACACUGAGCGCAGUAGUAUUAUUUCGCUCGGUAGGAUCUUCCACGGCGGGUCGAUCUGGCCGCUAAACCCCCCAAUUCUCACCAAAGGUUGACCUCGGAUCAGGUAGGAAUACCCGCUGAACUUAAGCAUAUCAAUAAGCGGAGGA
rnacentral:misc_RNA from 1 species